ensembl:lncRNA
GCGGAGGGGGAGAGGAGCACUGUGAGGGGAGGGGGAGAGGAGCACUGUGAGGGGAGGUGGAGGGGGAGAGGAGCACUGUGAGGGGAGGUGGAGGGGGAGAGGAGCACCGUGAGGGGAGGUGAGGGGGAGAGGAGCACUGUGAGGGAGGUUGAGGGGGAGAGGAGCACUGUGAGGGGAGGUGCAGGGGGAGAGGAGCACUGUGAGGGAGGUUGAGGGGGAGAGGAGCACUGUGAGGGGAGGUGCAGGGGGAGAGGAGCACUGUGAGGGGAGGUGAGGGGGAGAGGAGCACUGUGAGAGGAGGGGGAGAGGAGCACUGUGAGGGGAGGCGGAGGGGGAGAGGAGCACUGUGAGGGGAGGUGGAGGGAGUGAUGGAGCACCGUGAGGGGAGGUGGAGGGAGUGAUGGAGCACUGUGAGGGGAGGUGGAGGGAGUGAUGGAGCACUGUGAGGGGAGGCGGAGGGGGAGAGGAGCACUGUGAGGGAGGCGGAGGGAGUGAUGGAGCACUGUGAGGGAGGUGGAGGGAGUGAUGGAGCAGCAGCACCAUCUCAGCGUUGUACAGUGCUGUUAUCUCAUUGCGUCCAUAUGAAUGAAGCACAAAGGAUUCUGCAUCUAAAGGAGAUUCACAGUCGACCGUCGUUCUUUAACAGACACGUUGUUGUUGACGCAGACAGAAGCAAACAAAAGACCUCGUAUGUUAAAGCAUAAAAUGCUGAAUUCAAGAACCAUCCAUUGAAUGUUCUCAUUUACUGGACUGGACUGUUUUACAUGUUUUGCUCUUAAAAAGAGAAAAAAGCUGCCAAGUUUAGUCUACAUGUAUUAAUUGGUAUCAAUUGCUGUCAUUGGGUCUGUUUUUAGGUCUGUGCUCACAUCCGAUGGUGCAUUAAUCAUAAUGGAGCCACAGAUAAAGCUUGGUUAAUGUUUAUCCAUCUAUAAACUGACAACAGGUAUAGAACAUAGAAGUGAAAUAUGAGCAUAUGAGGACAUUUGACAAUUCUUAAAACUAUCUUGUGAUAAUCAAACUGGAGGCCUGAGCAAAUAAUCCAAACCAAACCAUGUAGUAUUGCAUUGAACUCUGUAUCCUGGGGAGUUCAGAAGGAGAGGAGAGGCAGUAGCGUAGGGCUGAAGGAUUCAUGGGGCCCAGAGCUGGACUGGGCCCCCGACUCAUGCUGGGAGUUAUUAACCUUUGAGAUGUCAAACCCCUUUGUCCCGUGUUCAGUUUCUGAGACCUUCUGUCAGCUGCUUAGUUGACACGUGUGGCGGGUUUGGUGAGGGAAAGAGGAACUGUACUGUAGGAUAAAGCACCAUGGCAAUGGAGCGCGGGGGAGGGCGGGGGGGGGGGGGUUUGGAGUAGGCGGAUUUGUUGGUGAUCCGGUUCAUACACGGUCAAAGUUUAAUCACAACGCUCCUGUUCAGCGGAGUGCGUCACGAGCUCAGACCGUGAAAUGGAGGCGGCAUGACAGAGUUAUUUAACCACACCAGUCACCAAAACCAAAUCCACAGCUUAGCAGGGUGGUGCUAGAACCACUACGUGGACAUAAAUCCCAGCAACUGUCACUUUGUAACAGAGUGAAAGGAUGUCACGACAAGAGGUGGCCACCUCGCCCUGAACCAAACUACUACUACUAUUACUACUACUACCGCACUGGAACAGGCAGUACAUUUAAACACAAUGCCAGCAUACGUAUAAAGAAUAUUACCGAACAGAACACCUGACUCACAGUCACUGAAUUGAAAGACUGUAUCGCUCGGUAUUUCGCUCAGGUACUUUGGAAUCACUCCCCGGCAGUUACACAAAACUGUGGAGACUGUUCCAGGUUCCACCUUGUCACAUGAAGAACACGGGGACAUAACAGGAUUGAUAUUUAAUGCUUGGCAUGAGCACUAAUGAACACGCACAUGCGUGUUGCAUAAUAAAUACACCUGAAGUGGGCGCAAAAGGGUUAAUACACGAGGCCCUGCGCCUUCCAACGGACGCUUUCUGACGCAGCUUUUGACGGAUUCGUGCAUCUUUUUUAAGCCAGUACCAUCGCUGCACCUUACCUGGGAGAACCCAAUGCAACAGUAACGAUGGGUUCCCACAAAGCGACAACAGGGUAGACAAACAGCUACACCAAAGCACCUGAGGGCCCAGCAGAGCAAAACGUGACUUGUCCCGCAUCACUAACAUCCCUCAAACUCGACUUGAUCGUUUCCAGUUCGAUUCUUAUCAUUUCAGUAGUAACUAGUAGAUGUUAACAUGGGAACAUUACUCACCCUAGCUUCACCAAAGGUGUCCACAUCAGACCCAGCAGAAUGCAGUGAAGUAGUUACUGCAGAACACACUAUCGUCACCCCACAUCCAUGCUCGCUCCAGCAAACAAUGUCUAAGAUCAAACAAAAAGCUCCUCAGUCCAUCAAUGACUCCUCAAGAUUAACUGUAACAACAAAAACGAUCUUAGCUUCCCAAAUGCACAAAAAAGUUGUUCCUGCCAUGUGAGCAAUAAUCAAUAAUAGGAAUGGAAGCCAAAACAACAAAAUAUGUUUUUUUGUUGUAACCAUUCAAUCCUGUCGACGUUGAAUAGAGACCGCUGUGUGGUGUUCUGACCUUCAGGUUGCACCGUACCUCAAAGUUGGAUUUUAUUUUUACUAAAGAUGACAUGAACCUCACCAUUGUGAUACAAAGUGGCACCUCGCGGGGAGGACCUACAGACAUGCUUUGUGUUGGUCGACUGUGGAAGUCUGCGGCUGGGUCGGGUAAAUAGGUCGGAGGUACGAUAGAGUUGGCCUCCGUCCACAAUGACCCACAGAGAGAUGAGACUCUUUCAUUCCACUGACAAAAGUGUCGCGGCUCUUUUUAUUCCAGCAUGAAAUCUGAUCGCUGGGGAAAAGAAGUCCCCAAACAUUGGGCUGCUCUGUGAUAGGGUCAUACAGUCAGAGGACGUUUUAGUGCCGUCGUCCAUUUGUGUCAAUGACCAGGCAGGUUUUUCAAGGGACAGCUUACGGUUUGAUCUCAUUAGGAUGUCAAAAGCAUCACAGAAUAUUUAUAUGGAAAAGUCUUUCAUAUAAAUACUCUUUUCACACGUCCAUCGUUCUGUAUGUCUCCGCUAAGAAGGAGGAGGAUGGAGGACGUCCACGUUGGUCCAGUAAGAGGACUUUUCUUGCCAUGGUGACGCACCCAUAUCACCUUUCAAAUGGCACAAAGCUGGAGCGAUUAACCUGGCUUAAUUAGAAAUACAAUAACCUGCCGAUGACAAAAGUGCGAGGCGUCUUUCAGCGGCGGUCGGGACCAGUGACGAUGGAGAGGAGUACAGGGAUUGACUCCGGGGGUCCGCUCAUCAACUCCCCCCGCAGAAGCAAAUGUUGGUGCAAGAAACAGCCCGAGGAGAAGAGGAGCGACAGUAACAUCACAUAACGAAUGUUAUACUUUCAACCAAUACUAAAACUGCAUCGUUAACAUUUCCGGAUGCGCACAAACUGCUAUGAAAGUCAAUGGUACCCACGAGGGCGAUUCGCGUCUACAGAGAACCAAAGGAAGCAGAAAAAGUGGAGCAGGCGGUGCCACGUGCGUCUCUCCCGGGUGGAGGACUUCCACCGACUGCACCGGUCAUUUUCUGCCCCGGGAUCCUGUAGCAUCUCAACCAGCGGCCCUUUGGACCCCCCCCCCACCGCCCCUGCUUCCAGGCUAAAUGUGCGCCUCAGAGAAGGGUGCAAACCCCGCUCUUUUCCAGCGGAUACUUCAGCAGCGCGGGCUGGUGUGGAGAGGGAGAAGAAGGUGGACGUACCAGGUGGCACUACACUUGAAAACCUCAUUAUGUUUUUCAGUGACACAAUGCGGGAGACGAGGUGGUGGAGCGGAGGACAAAGGAAAAGCUUCUACCUCACUUCCCUUCACCUUGCGCGCUGUGGCCUGGGAGAAAAAAAACACGAAUAAGCAGAGAAAUUUAUUGCAUUGCAAAAAAAAAGAGAAACGUGUGUGGAAAUCAGAAGAAAUAAAAGCAGGACGACUGCAGGCAGAAACAAACGCUUCCGUCUUACACGCUGAUUAGCAUGUUGCCUUUUGUGACUUCUGCACUUGUGUGCACUCCACAGAGGGCAGGGGGGGGGGGGGGGGGGCUCAAGCAUUCAGACAACUUCAACUCUUAGUUUAACACUUGGUUUUUUGAGAUCCCCCCCCUCCCCUCGGCGGCGCCCCCCCAGAAUCCCCUGCACCCGAGUGACAGACAAUGCUCAUUUAAAACACAAAAGCACAUAGACUCUCAUUCAGACUACAGCUGCCCUCUUUCAGACCGGUAUUCUAAAGCCACUUUCUGUUGUCCCCUGCUCAGGUUUUUCCCCUACGGAGGGAAAUAAAGCUGGGCCCCGCAUUUUGGUGUGAGGGGAGAGAGAAGGGCUCGCCUGUGUGGAAUAAAGAGAAGCCAAGAAGAAAAAGGGCUCUCCACCGGAGAGGACACCUUAGAGGUGCACCUUUUUCCUUUCUCGCUUUGUCCGGGGCAGUUGGCUGGAAAGAUGGUGGGGAGAAGGUAGGAGGGGACAACAUCAUGCAAGUGGGCGACUAAUGUGUGUAUGAAGGAUUCUUUGAUAACGCCGGAGCAUCUGUUGAUCCCCAAUGAGCUUUUUACGCCCUCUUUUUCUCCCCCGAAAAGUCCCAAAUUUGGCACCUCGCAGGUGAGCGCCUGGCGUGCUCCCCGGCCCGGCCCGGCCCGGCCCGGCCCGGCCCGCUGGCUGGGCGCGAGGGGCUGUUUGCGGUUGAAAGGUAAGCCCAGCUGACUUUUGGAAGGUGUGGGGGGGACGAGGGGUCAUUGCAUUGGAGGGGUAAUGUUUGCGUUUGCUUUUGCUGCUGUGAGACCCUGCAGGUGGAGCAGGUGGGGCGGGCGGAGCAGGUGCAGGUGGAUGUGCGCUCGUGGUUUUGCUCGCCGCGGUUUGUCACGUUGGGAUUAAACAAAUUCAGUUUGCUUUCUUCUUGCAAAAAGAAGAUUAUUAGAAGAUUAUAUAUAUUUAUAUACAUAAAUAUAUACAUACAAGCCUUGGUGAUUGGUUGAUUUCUUUAUUCGUGCUCAGAUGUUUGGAAAAAAUGGACAUUGCUCAAAAGAAAAAGGUUGACUUUAAUGAGAUAAAAAAAAACAUGCCUAUGGUGUGCAAAAGCUUUAUGCAUCUGCAAAAAAACAGAGGAAAAACGUACAUCUUUAUAGCUCUAUAUUUAUAAACAAUUUUCAAGCAUCAUCUAAAAAUAUUGCAAUAAUAUUUUGGCAAAUUGUUUUAUUUUAGUUUUAUUGUUUUGCGGAAAUCGAUUUUGUGACAUUUUGAAUUUCUAUUCAUAAUUAAGAGUAAAAGAAAUAUGAAAUGUAGAUGUAGAUACUAUUUGUGUUAAAAUAAUGUGUUUAAUCCAGCAAACUUAUAUAAAUUACACAUAUAAAGUGCGGAUCGUAGUGAGUGAUUUAAGGCUUCUUAAAGGCCUUCAGUAACACGGAAACACUUAAAAAAAUUAAAAGAAUACAAAUUCAGGAAUCAACCUUAAAAUGAAUAAAACUAUAUUGUCUUCAUGAACAGGAAACAUGAUUACAAACAUCAUGUGUGUGUUUGUGGUGGGAGCAGCACACGCGUGUGCGUCCCCGUGUCCUGUUCUCCGUGUUGCUUUGAGGGAACAAAGUCCACACGUUUCACACGGAUUGUUUGCUCCUAAACAAAUUCAUUACCGUGUCUUUGCCUAAAUCAGAUGGGAUGAAGAAUAUUUGAUUCAUGAUUGCAUCCAAAACUAAUCUAUAAAAUUUAGUUAGUUCCAUCUUUAUUUAAAUGGUUUCCCCCAAAAUGGUGCAGAUUUUCAACCAAUCAGAACCCGGGUAGAGGUAGAAGUUAUAAUUAUGAAACAACACCAGCACAGACAGGCUCCACUCUUACCUUUCACAAUAAAAGCAUGUUGUGUUUUGCAUUCAUCCAUCCAUUUAUUCCUGUGUGUUCAGGCCCCAAGCAUCCGAAGUCAGGCAAAGAGAGUUUAUUUUACUAUAAGACGUGCUUGAAUAAAUCAAUAAUAUCAAUAAUAAGUGUGAUAUUAACGUGAUAUCAAUAGUAAGGGUCUUGUCAUUAGAAGCACAUUGCGACGCCCUUCAAGCUGUCUGACGAGUCGCGUUGUAUUUUUUAUUACCCCUGUAAAGAGGUUAAGGGUAACUAGCAAAUUAGAUUAUAUCAGCGGUCAAUAUUGUUUAUGUGUCCAUUACAUUUCACACAACAAACAACAAAUAGUGAGCCCCGCCUUGUUUUUCCCCUCAGUCACGAACCAAACCAGAUACAAACAACAUGAGUCACCAACAUUAAGCAGCUCCGGGGGGGGGGGGCAACAUGUGGCUGUCACCUGUCAAUAAUCUCCCGCCGGCCACAAAGUCCAGUAUCCGCGUUCAGUGGGGAACACUAUCGGACUGAUAGCACCAAUGAGUGACAGACGAUCAGCUGCAGCCAACGUUACCCAGACCCGGGGGGGGGGGGGGUAACAACGCCUGGCUGCUUUUAAAGAGGAAGAGGAGGCUUUGGCGCAGAGGGGAGGGGUCCGUUUGUUUUAUGGUGGCGUGAGACACAUUCUCUUAUUGUGUGUGUGCACUAUAUCAGAACACAGGAUUUGGGUUCCCUUGCGAACUAUCUUGUCCACAUUCAAACCUCUCGUGGCUUUGCGAGGCCUGAGAUCCUGUUUCCCAGCGGAGCCACCUGACCAUGAAAAGAGUGCAUGUGUCACGUUGCCGAGGAGCCGGCAGCUGCUCCUCACAGCCGGCGAAGAAACACACCGACGACGCGCAGCCACGAGUGGCUUUGACGACGACGUGCCAGAAAAUAACGGCAACAAUCGAUGUGGAGGUUUCCGGUCAGCGGUUGGUAACGGCUGAGACCUUUCGGAGUUCAGAGGGAUCCCACGGUGACCUGGUUCAUUGUCAUCACUGAAUGUGACUGUUUCCACCAGGAAGGAGGAUAAGACCUGGGACUUGUGGGCAAAAGACGGGCGUCUUUUGUCCUUUCCCGGUUACCUUAUGACGACUCGUGAAGCGGAGCGAGUCGGUGACCCAAACACCGCCGACAGAGGCUGGAAUCUCCCCGUGUUUCUUUUCUUGGAUUAGGACCGUGGCCUCCAUGAUUAAUAUUAUGUUACAAACAAAAGCAGGUCAUCUUCUUUUAUGUAGGAAGUUCUUCUUAGGGAGGCGGGAUAUUGUUACAGAGCGUUGCUUUGAACUUGACGGCAUUCUACCGUUUUUUUAUCUGGGUAACAGGUUGCUCCGGGUAACAGCGGGGUUGCAGUUGGCCAAACAAGUGCAAAAACAGAUCUAAUUGAAGCACAGCAACAUGUCAUCUCAUGUGUUCAUUCAUAUCAUUCAAUAAAUACUUUAGUCCAUAAGACGACGGUUUGUAUCCCGUUAAAACAAAAGAAGUCACUUUUUACCUGGUCUGAAUUAUUCAUCAGCAAAGUCAACGUCCUCCGCGCUCUUUUCCUCAGCAAGCAAACUUCCGGUUAAGAUUAUUUUAAAAAAU